UGGCUCAGUUGGUUAGAGCGUGGUGUUUGCAACGCCAGGGUUGUGGGUUCGAUUCCCAC
rnacentral:tRNA from 1 species